UACGGGGGGGGCAAGCGUUGUUCGGAAUUACUGGGCGUAAAGGGCUCGUAGGUGGCCAACUAAGUCAGACGUGAAAUCCCUCGGCUUAACCGGGGAACUGCGUCUGAUACUGGAUGGCUUGAAUCCGGGAGAGGGAUGCGGAAUUCCAGGUGUAGCGGUGAAAUGCGUAGAUAUCUGGAGGAACACCGGUGGCGAAGGCGGCAUCCUGGACCGGUAUUGACACUGAAAAGCGAAAGCCAGGGGAGCAAACGGG
rnacentral:rRNA from 1 species